GGGGCCGGGGGAAAGUUGGAGCGAAGGGGCCGGGACCGGGGGCACUUGGUGCGCGGCUCCAGGAGCGGGAGGAGCGGGCGGCGAGGCCCCGGGCCUGUGGGGCCCGAACCGCCAUGGCGGGAGCAGCGCGGCGGGGGAGGGAGCGGGGCGGGCAGCGGUGUCCCGGGCCGGGGCGGAGGGGACGCGGGCAGCGGGGAGACACGGAGCGGGACAAGGAGGAGAGCGGCGGAGGUGACUACGAGGGAGCGACGAAAAUGGGUGUGUUGGCAUCCUCCAGCACCAGAAAUAACCUCCUUGCACCUAUCCUGCUCACUCCAGUCUCUGCUUUCCAAGCCUGGAGAUAACAGAGGGACAGUCAGUACCUCGGGGAAGACUGGCCAAGUUGUUGCAGGUACAAAGCUGCCUGGCGGGUGGCCCGAGGACUUGGAAGCUGCACGUUGCUUUCCAGUAUUUGUUGAGGAGCUUUUGGUACCCUGUGGCUUGUGGCCGUGUCCUUGUGCUGGGACAAGGAGGAGGAAAGUGCUCUGGUGGCACUCCUAGAAGUGCUGCUGAUCAGGGGGUGCUCUUGGGGGGUGCCCUGUGUGUUACCUGAAGAUGUAUGAGAGCAGAAGGGAAGGGCAGAGCUCAAACAAGCCCUAAUCCAGCUCAGUCAGGAGGAAUCGGGGUUCUUUCAAAUCCCAUCUGCCCUCCGAUUUGUGGCCCAUAAAGCCACAGUCAUUCUGCUGAGGUUUGUGCCAUUUAAUGCUUCAUCUCCAAGUUUUCUGCUUGCUUGGUAACAACUCCAGGCACCGCUUUUGAGGUGCAGCCUCCCAAAAUCAUAUCGAAAGAGCUGGAGGUGUCUCCUCCCAUGAGGAACACGCAGAGUGCAGCUAUGGGCUGUGAGAUUUAUCUCUUCCCUUCUGUUCUAUAUUGGUGCUUUAUGACUUUGUCUGAGCUGGAUGUUUUGGAUGACAUUUGCUAAGCACAGCCUUUGCCCACCCUGGAGAGAGGCGUUUUCUACACGUUGGGUUGUCUCAAGGUACUGGUGGGAUUACAGUUGGUUCACAGAGUUAUUUAUAUCAAGGGUUAUUGAUUUACUGGGUAUCUCUUGCAGCAGGAGGGGUUUUGUCUGACAGAAGUUAAAUCUCUGCCUUCUUCCCCAUCACUUCCAGCUGGAUUUUACUUGUCAAGACAAGCCUCAACGUUUCCAAAGCCUCAGAGCAUCUGGCAAAGGGAACCUGAAUUCGUCGGGUUUGCAUUAGAUGUGCUGAGGUUGUUAGUGCUGUGAGCAGCAGUAUCUUGCCUUUAAUAAAGAGCAUGUUUAGGAGUAAACAAUACCCUAAAAUCCCUGCAGUUUAGAAAUGCAAAAGGGGUUUGUUCACAGCAAGGAACCGUGCCACAGAGUCUGAUCAGUUGUUAAUAGGAGCUCAGUGGAUGUAAAAGAUUUCCUGGUGUUUUGAUGCCAUUUUGCCAAUGGGAGCUGCACACAGAGAAACAUUAAACCCCUGAUUGACAGCUGGUUGAAAAUAAACCCACGGUAGCUGCUUUUCCUUUUCUUUCUGUGCUCAAACCACAGGUUUCUGCAUUUUUCAUCGUGACAAACAGAGCUUUCAUCAUCACUGUCAGUGUUGGGUGCCGUAAGCUAAAUCCUCUUUCAUCUUCCUCUCUCUUGGCUUCUGCGCUGAGGAUGCUGCGAUGAUGCUGAGGGAGAUGCAGCAAUUAACUCUCCUCCCGGCUUUAGCUCUGCCCUCAGGCAAGCGGGAGAUGCUGUGGGAAGAGAAGCCGAGAGGAGCCUGCAUCCAGGUUUUUGCUGCAUCCCUGCUGCUGCGCGAGACGCAGCGCAUCCCCGCAUUACCUCCCGCGCCUGGGGAAGCAGGGAUGCUGGAGAUGGGGCUUUGCCAGGGGGAUGGAGCUGGGCCCCGGGUUUUCCUCCUGCCUCAGCGCCGGGUGCCGGGGCCGCGCCGGUGAUGCCGGAGAUGCGGAAUUUUUCAGUUCUGGUGCGGAUGCUGCAGCCGUGGUGAGGUCUCUGUGGCGCAAUGGACGAGCGCGCUGGACUUCUAAUCCAGAGGUUCCGGGUUCGAGUCCCGGCAGAGAUG